UCGUGAAACGAGAAAGGACCAAGCGGAAAAGCAGCAGGUGCCACACCCAGAACAGACCCGGCCGUCCGCAGGGGGACUCUCGCCAUCGCGGUCCGUCCACACCCCUGCCUUUCACCACUGCUCCAUGGCAACAGGUCCCUACAGGACUCAGGAUUCAACCUACGGGACUCGCCUGCCUGCCCCUUGCGGACCACCCAGAUGUGCCAAGUGCCGCCCCCCCACCCCACCCCCGAGUCUCAGCGCCACCUCCUGGGCCUCAGGCCUGCUGGCUCUAAACCCACUGAGUGCAUCUCCUCGUAGAAAACCCGUUAGCAUAAUGACCUGGACCCCAGCAAAGAUGCUGGUCAGAGAGGUAUUCCCAUUCCCUCUAGGGGCAGCUCCAGGCGGGCUGUGCACCCCCAGGGCCCGUAGGCAGUGAAAUCCUCAUUUCCAUCUCGCGCAUCUCCUAUCACGGAAGGUGCACUCCCAUCAUAAAGAACCCAGGCUCUGACACAGACACACCAGGCAGGUGGAGAACAGUGUCCCCCAGGGCUCAGUGUGGCCGCUCACACCCCUCUGCUGGGCAGGACCUUCAGGCUACAGGGAAAAUGGGGAAGCUGGGAGCCAGCAGCCCACAGCCUCCAUCUCCUGGCGCCCUCCCUGUGGCAGAGCCCAAGAAGCAGAGCAGAGGAGCCGCCAGUCCACGAGGAGCCGGCCCAGACCGAGACAGUCAAGUGCACGGUACGCGAAGGUUUCAAGGGCUCUGCACCAGCAAAAGCGUGAGAUGGCUCACUCUUCACUCGCUACACGUCCAAGAAGGCAUAUUUUGGGUGUACUGUGUUAAUUAAACAUAUUACUAAAAUUGA